UUUUUGUGGGUGGGUGAUGAGAAAAGUGGGAAAAUCUCUUUAGAAAGCUCUUGAAAGUGAAAGAGAAGUGCUAGGGCUUAGGGAGACCGCUUGGGCGACUUGCAAAGAAGAGGUUUCAAAGUGCCCAAACCUAAAAACCGCUCAGCUUUUAACAAAAGCCGAGCUGGUAUACGCCACAACCGCUCAACGGUUGGCAGAAAUUUUCUUCCUAUGUUCUUUGCUUGCUUUUGAGCAAUCUAACCCUGUAGCACUUAAUUUCGACCUUCAAUUUUUCAAUCACAUACCUUUCCCCUCUCAAAUGCAACAUUCAAACAUGCAAUGCACUUAACACAGAGUUAAAAACAGAUAUAAUCAACUAGGUUGCCU
rnacentral:lncRNA from 1 species